AUCGGUGUGUUUGAGUCUGACAAGUUCAGUAAUUGGGUAUCUUUUGCAGCAUGUCCAACCCCAUUGCCUUCAGAAGAGCUGUAGCAGUGUGUGGAAGCAAUGAAUGAAAUGUUGAUUCAGGAACUUCAUUUAGAGGUUGUGAAUCUUUUGACAUCUCUGCGUUCCGGAUUUCAGUUGGAGUCUGAGGUAUAGUACCACAUGCUUUAAGAAACUUCGCCUGUACGGUUUUUGUUGUUGUGAGGUCCAUAUUGUAAAAGAGCAUGACACGUUAAAACACAUGAGCAACUCAGGUUUAGGCUACUUGCAUCAAAUACAUGGAUUGUGUUUACUAUUAAAA